GACGUAGGGCGCGAGCGUUGUCCGGAUUUAUUGGGCGUAAAGAGCUCGUAGGCGGCUUGUCGCGUCGUGUGUGAAAUCUCAGGGCUCAACUCUGACAUUGCAUACGAUACGGGCAGGCUUGAGUUCGGUAGGGGAGACUGGAAUUCCUGGUGUAGCGGUGAAAUGCGCAGAUAUCAGGAGGAACACCGGUGGCGAAGGCGGUUCUCUGGGCAUGUCCUGACGCUGAGGAGCGAAAGCAUGGGGAGCAAAAGGG
rnacentral:rRNA from 1 species